AGACAAGGAAAAUAAACUAGGAAAAUAGAAAUAGAAAAUAAAAGAAAGAAACAAUAAAAGAAAAUAUAAAAUAACAAAGGAAACAGGAACAGAAAUAAAAGAAAAGACAAGGAAACUGACACACCUGGGAUUCGAAGUGGUGACCUGGUGACAAGAAAGAAACAGAGGCGCUGGAAAAUAUUGGAAAAAGAAGCAAAAUUUCAGUGCUCUGGAGAGUUGAACCCGUGACAGGAAGCAUUUCCUCAUCCCUCCUAACUAGCGCCGUUUGAUAACCUCGCUCUCUCACUACCCACGAGCCCAGAGCCGUGAAAGCUAUCUCCUUCAUUUCCUCUCUCUCUUCAUUUCUCAUGGAACUGAAACCCUAGAUUCUGUCUUCAGCCCAGAACGUCAAAACAUGAAUCCAUCUCCAUCUCCAUCUCUGUCAAAAACGGAACCCAGCCAUGGCGAUCUGUGAUUCUAGCCCAGAUUGUCACCAUCGUGCAUUCCUCUGCAAAACCCGAGACUUGGGGAUCCGAGUAAGGCCAAGGGGAAUAGGAGCCGCAAGGAUCAAUGGCUCACACAUGGAGCUGCUGUACACACAGCAAAGAUGGCUGCAAGAACUCGGAUCUACAAAAUGAAAGGUAAAUCAAAUCCCUCCACUGCGUUAAAAUUAAGCAUGGUUUAAUAUCUCUGAAAGUCAUACGGAUUUGUGAAAUGUUUCUGUCAUGCAUUCAUAGACCUAAAAUUUCGUCAAUGCUCAUGUAAUUUUCUGUGUGCUUGCGUGCCUCCAUGUGACAAAUAUUGAGCAAAAACUGUGCAGAUACUGGAUCGGAGACAUGACUUUGAUGAAUGUCCACCUCUGUUUUGCCUGGACCGGAAAGGGAUCCGGUCUGGAUCCCUUCCUCCUAAUCCACCAAAUCAGAGAAUCCGUCUUAUUAAAAUUUGAUCUAACAAUUGAAGUUAUUAUAAUUUUUAAAGGGAGUUCUUGUUUGUAGCUAUUGUAUGUAUGACUGAACUCAGCCUCAAAUUCUUUUCUACAUUCGUGUAGAUGAUGAAUGCUCAGAUAAAUGUUGAUGAAUGGAUGAAUGAUGAAUGCAUAUUUGUAUCUUUA